GGAGUUUUGGUUCUGCUUACUGUUCUAUCAUCAGGUAUAUGCGAUCUGAUUUAAUCUCAUUGGUCUUCUCUGUUUCCGAAAACCCAUACCUUUGCAAUCGAUAUGAUCUCCCUUGCUUUAUGUCGUUGUUUCUCAUCUUCAACUUAUCCAAAGAAGUCAGCUGAUGUGACAAAGUUGCAGAUUGGUAUCAAGGUAUGCUGAAAAGCUCUUUCACGUGGUUAAGUUUUGGAAAGAAUUGGUACUAACUUCCAUGGUGAACUUGAUCUCUCAAUCUGCAUGAUUGGAAGUGUCAUUAUUGCAAUUGUUCACUUUUACAGUUCAAGCCUCUGAAAUGUGAUUUUCAGACUCACAAAGAAGACAAAAUCAAGGUCCACUAUCAGGCCUAAGGCAAAGAGGGGCUUGACGUUAAAAGAAACUCAACAAAUGGAGUUCUUCUCUCAGGUAAGAAUGCUGUUGAUGAGACACUUCUGUUCAUUACAUUCUCACUUACAGCUUUAGGAAGCCAAGAAUGACGUCGAAAUGAAUGAUUUAUAGGAACUUCUGGCUGAAACAUGGAAGACAUUGACAGUAUAUCGAGGAUGAAAGCUUGCUUCAAUUUUUAGAAAGAACGCUGAGGUGGAAACAUCUAGCUCCCAUUGCACUAUCUACAUUCAGUGAAAAUACACUUUCCCCUGCUAAUUUUACCUUUUUUAAACUAAGCCCUCAAGAAAAGGAAAAAGUACACA